CAGCACCUCAAGUGGUCAGGAUGAUUAUUGGGCCUAAAGCAUCCGUAGCCGGCUCAGUAAGUUUUCGGUUAAAUCUGUACGUUUAACGUACAGGCUGCCGGGAAUACUGCAGAGCUAGGGAGUGGGAGAGGUAGACGGUACUCGGUAGGAAGGGGUAAAAUCCUUUGAUCUAUUGAUGACCACCUGUGGCGAAGGCGGUCUACCAGAACACGUCCGACGGUGAGGGAUGAAAGCUGGGGGAGCAAACCGGAUUAGAUACCCGAGUAGUCC
rnacentral:rRNA from 1 species